GCGUCUUUUGCCAUUGCUCGGUCAGCCACAUUCGGAGGCUGAUCUUGAGCCGGAUACCAGCGCUUCGGCGCAGGUACAAGACAAGAACAAUCACCAGACAACGCUUUUUGAGUACGGAACCUUCAGUGACUUCACAAAUGGGGGUCUUCGUAAUUUAUCUGUUGUUACAUGC
rnacentral:snoRNA from 1 species